GCGUAGGUGGCUCAGUGGUUAGAGCCUAGGGCUUGUAACCGGAAGGUCCUGGGUUAAAAUCUCGCCAGAGAU
rnacentral:tRNA from 1 species